rnacentral:rRNA from 1 species
UACGAAGGGGGCUAGCGUUGCUCGGAAUUACUGGGCGUAAAGGGCUCGUAGGCGGCCAACUAAGUCACACGUGAAAUCCCCCAGGCUUAACCUGGGAACUGCGUGUGAUACUGGAUGGCUUGAAUUCGGGAGAGGGAUGCAGAAUUCCAGGUGUAGCGGUGAAAUGCGUAGAUAUCUGGAGGAACACCGGUGGCGAAGGCGGCAUCCUGGGACCGGUAUUGACGCUGAUGCGCGAAAGCCAGGGGAGCAAAGCGGG